UGAAUAAGGGCAUAAAAAUAAUAUGACUUUUAAAAAAACAUUUCAUUAACUACCUUUUCAUUAUUGGUUUUCUUUUUAUGAAGUCAAAAUCAAUUAUAGCUAGAAUGCAAGGUACUUGCUGAGUGUAUUGUAAAACAUUUAAAAACAAUAGUUUUUUUUAACAAAGAAUAAUCCUUCUUUGAUAUAGCACUUUUCUGCAUGAUUUUUUUAUCUUGAAGAUACUGAGCAAUUGCAGUUGCUGUUUUAACUGUACUUUCAAAGCCAAUCUUUUCACUAUAUAUUUUUUUUUAGGGCAAAAGAGUUGGUAGUGGUGCACAAAAAACAAGAAGAAGACUCAAAAAGCCUUUUGUAAAGGUGGAAGAUAUGAGCCAACUUUAUAGGCCAUUUUAUCUUCAGCUGACCAAUAUGCCUUUUAUAAAUUAUUCUAUUCAGAAGCCCUGCAGUCCAUUUGAUGUAGACAAGCCAUCUAGUAUGCAAAAGCAAACUCAGGUUAAACUAAGAAUCCAAACAGAUGGCGAUAAGUAUGGUGGAACCUCAAUUCAACUCCAGUUG
rnacentral:lncRNA from 1 species